AUUGAACGCUGGCGGCAUGCCUUACACAUGCAAGUCGAACGGCAGCGGGGGAGAAGCUUGCUUUUCCUGCCGGCGAGUGGCGAACGGGUGAGUAAUACAUCGGAACGGGCCCUGUAGGGGGGGAUAACUAGUCGAAAGAUCAGCUAAUACCGCAUACGACCGGAGGGGGAAAGUGGGGGACCGCAAGGCCUCAUGCAUUAGGAGCGGCCGAUGUCGGAUUAGCUAGUUGGUGGGGUAAAGGCCUACCAAGGCGACGAUCAGUAGCUGGUCUGAGAGGACGACCAGCCACACUGGGACUGAGACACGGCCCAGACUCCUACGGGAGGCAGCAGUGGGGAAUUUUGGACAAUGGGCGAAAGCCUGAUCCAGCAAUGCCGCGUGUGUGAAGAAGGCCUUCGGGUUGUAAAGCACUUUUGUCCGGAAAGAAAUGGCUCUGGUUAAUACCUGGGGUCGAUGACGGUACCGGAAGAAUAAGGACCGGCUAACUACGUGCCAGCCGCCGCAGUAA
rnacentral:rRNA from 1 species